rnacentral:rRNA from 1 species
GACAGUACUGACGCUGAGAUGCGAAAGCGUGGGGAGCAAACAGGAUUAGAUACCCUGGUAGUCACGCUGUAAACGAUGUCGAUUUGGAGUUUGUUGCCUAGAGUGAUGGGCUCCGAAGCUAACGCGAUAAAUCGACCGCUGGGGAGUACGGCCGCAAGGUUAAAACUCAAAUGAAUUGACGGGGGCCCGCACAAGCGGUGGAGCAUGUGGUUUAAUUCGAUGCAACGCGAAGAACCUUACCUGGUCUUGACAUCCAUAGAAUUCUGCAGAGAUGUGGGAGUGCCUUCGGGAACUAUGAGACAGGUGCUGCAUGGCUGUCGUCAGCUCGUGUUGUGAAAUGUUGGGUUAAGUCCCGCAACGAGCGCAACCCUUAUUCUUUGUUGCCAGCGAUUUGGUCGGGAACUCAAAGGAGACUGCCGUUGAUAAAGCGGAGGAAGGUGGGGACGACGUCAAGUCAUCAUGGCCCUUACGACCAGGGCUACACACGUGCUACAAUGGCGUAUACAAAGGGAAGCGAAGGUGCGAGCUGGAGCGGAUCUCAUAAAGUACGUCUAAGUUCGGAUUGGAGUCUGCAACUCGACUCCAUGAAGUCGGAAUCGCUAGUAAUCGUAGAUCAGAAUGCUACGGUGAAUACGUUCCCGGGCCUUGUACACACCGCCCGUCACACCAUGGGAGUGGGUUGCACCAGAAGUAGAUAGCUUAACCGCGAGGGGGGCGUUUACCACGGUGUGAUUCAUGACUGGGGUGAAGUCGUAACAAGGUAACCA